AGGAGCCGUCGCCAUGGGGAGGAGUAAGCUUACCUCUAUUUAAUUUCUUACUAACUCUGUAUCUCUAGUGCAUGUUUUUAUGCGAUCUUAGCGUUCAAUUUGGAAUUAUUGCUUGGAUUCUCCAUUCAUUUUCUUUUCUUGUAUUGUUUUGAUUUAUUUAAGCUUGUAUUUGUUUUAGAAUUGAUUGCAAAUGAUCUUCUUUCAUACAGAUAUUGGUGGCGUAAUCUGUUGCAAAUUUUUUAUGAUGAGAAUAUUAGAGAUUAUCCCUGUUAAUGCAAUGAUUAUAUCCUUUAGGUACCUGUUAAUGUGAGCCUGCUCCCUAGAUCUUGACUUGUAUUUGAUUUUUAUUUGUGUUUUUUCAUAUCGAGAAUCUCUGGGGAUAAGCAGAUUUUUCUUUUUUCGUUUAAUGGUUCAAGGGAUAGAUUUAGCCAUUCAAUUGAUACUAAUAUGGCCAGUUGUGUAGAGAGAGAUUGAAUAUCAAAGAAGAAUUAGUUGUGUUGUAAAAUUAUUGAUGUUGCAGCUGGCACAAUUUGGUUAAAAAGUGCUAUGAAUUUUGAUUCGUCAGAUGCUUUAGUAAAUAUUCAUAGAUGUUUUGUGAACAAAUGAGCUCUUUUAACUGCUAUAUAU
rnacentral:misc_RNA from 1 species